rnacentral:tRNA from 1 species
GAGGGGGGUUCAACCAACAAGAACUGCUAACUCUUGUAUCUGAGUUUAAAACCUCAGCUCCCUUG